rnacentral:rRNA from 1 species
CCUAGUGGCGGACGGGUGAGUAACGCGUGAGCAACCUGCCUUUCAGAGGGGGAUAACAACGGGAAACCGUUGCUAAUACCGCAUAAUACCGGAUGAUGGCAUCAUUGACCGGUCAAAGGAGCAAUCCGCUGAAAGAUGGGCUCGCGUCCCAUUAGGUAGUUGGUGGGGUAACGGCCUACCAAGCCGACGAUGGGUAGCCGGACUGAGAGGUUGAUCGGCCACAUUGGAACUGAGACACGGUCCAA